rnacentral:lncRNA from 1 species
CAAGAAAUGAAACUUAAAACAUAAAGAAGCUUCUCGUGUGUUUUAUCUUCAACAUUUGAAAGGUAAUUUUACAAAUCAUAAUAAUAUAAUAGAAUGUAAUGCUUUGCUCUAAUUUUAGUUACUUUAAAAUUUCACCAACAUGAACAUAAAGCUCCAGUACUUUGACCAACUGAUGUGAAGAGCCGACUCAUUGGGAAAGACCCUGAUGUUGGGAAAGAUUGAGGGUAAAAGGAGAAGGAGGUAGCAGAGGAUGAGAUGAUUACACAACAUUACUGACUCAGUGGACAUGAAUUUGAGCAAACUCCAGGAGAUUGUGAAGGACAAGGGAGCCUGGUGUGCUGCAGUCCAUGAGAUAUCAAAGAAUCGGACAUGACUUAGCAGCUGAACAACAAACAACAAUGUGAAUAUGUGAGUAAUUGCUUUUUUCCAAUUAAACUGUAUCUGAAGAAUAUGUCUUCCUGACAAUUUUUAAAAGAAAAUGAAUUAAUAUGAUGAAGAAUGGCCAUUUAGACCCAAAACACAUGCUUUUAUAAAAUAUGCUAGUCCUUCCAACUUUGCUAGUGUCUUUGAUGGAUGAAAAGAACUUGUUAAAAUAACUUUACUCUUUUAAUUAAAAAUUCAUAAAAAGUGGUGAUAGAGAAUAAUCUUUAAUAAAUGCUGUCUUGUUCUCAUUUACCAUUUACCAAUUCCCUUCUGCUGCUAACAGUUAAGUGGAAAAAAGAAGUUGUGAACAUGCAUUAGGUGCACUGUUCCAGUGAGGGAACUACAGCUAUGAAAAAACAAAAUGCCUACUCUCAUUGUCUGUGAGGAUGCCAACCCAAAUUCUCCAGAUUGCAUUUAUACAGGUAGGUCUUAUGUCCUAGCCACAGCUGUAGGCCCAGGAGAUGCCUUCCAAGCUCCAGGGAGCAGCGUGGGGCCCAGCACAGCUCCUGAUGACUCCCGGGCACUAGCUCAGAUCAUAGGAAUGAUUGCUGUGUGCCCAGUGAGCCUUCAGUCACUGGAACACUGGGCAAGGACAGAGAAGGGAGGGUUUUCUAAAGCCCAAGAAGCUCUGGUGGCCCAGGAAAGAAUUACUGAAGAAGUAGGGGGCUGACCUCAGAGAAGCAGAGGCUAAAGAGCAGGAAGAAAGAAUCUAAAGACAGAAGUCCAGAAAGGGCCAGUGCAAUUCACAUAGACAACCAAGUCAACUUCCUGAAACUCACACUGCAGAUUAUCCAGAACUUAAAGACACUAACUCCAACCACUCUCUCCCUCCCUCUCCCACCAACACCCUUUUUGUUGUUUUGCAAAAUCUUUAGACUGUUUUCUGUAUUCAUUGCCUUCAAUUAAAGUAUUAAUCUGCUUUAAAGCUCAAGUGAUGAUUUCCAGUUACUUAGUCAGCUUCCUAAUGUACUUCCAGAAAGCCGAAGCUGUUUGAAACUCCG